rnacentral:rRNA from 1 species
GACGAACGCUGGCGGCGUGCCUAAUACAUGCAAGUCGAACGCAGUGGGGACGGUUGAGUAACACGUGGGUAACCUCCCAUCAGAGGGGAUAAAACUUGGAAACAGGUGCUAAACCGAUAUUGGUGGAUGGAACCGUGGGGCAUUAGCUAGUUGGUGAGGUAACGGCUCAACAAGGCGAAGAUGCAUAGACGACCUGAGAGGGUGAUCGGCCACACUGGGACUGAGACACGGCCCAGACUCCUACGGGAGGCAGCAGUAGGGAAUCUUCGGCAAUGGACGAAAGUCUGAUCGAGCAACGCCGCGUGAGUGAAGAAGGUUUUCGGAUCGUAAAACUCUGUUGUUAGAGAAGCGGUAUCUAACCAGAAAGCCACGGCUAACUACGUGCCAGCAGCCGCGGUAAUAC